AUGACCGAGGAAGACGUCGCGGCAGCGGCCGUGUACAGAGCCAAGGCGGAGGAGGCGCGCAGGAGCCAUGAGCGAAGGGAGCAGCACGACGCCGUGACCAGGUGGAUCGCCACGGGAGACCCCGAGGCCGUCCAGCGCUGCAACCAGUGGAUGGAGCAGGACAUUGAGGCCAUGAGGCUCAAGGACAUCGCCCCACCGAGGAUCUGUCGGACUGGGAGGCCGUCGAAGCCAAGAGGCAUCGAGAAUUCUGGGACACCUAUCCUGCCCAUGCGUUACACGGACGAGAAGCCUCCGCGCGGUACGGCCUACCCCGUGCGAACUCUGCAGGUCUUUUCGGUCAGCGUUGCAGCCAUCAAAGGUGGAUUGGACUGGCCUCUGGAUGUGUAUGGUGUCGUCGCCGCACGCGACUCGUUGGAUCACAAUCGCAACAUUAUCUUCCACCGCACUAGGGAUAACUGCCAAACCAUUGACAAGAAGGUUACUUCAUCAAUGAGGGGCCGGAGGGAGAGCUUGGCAGGGCGGCAUGACGGGCUGGUCUGCACCAGCAGAACGGAGGGAGAGAUUGAAAAAGAGUGUCCGCCUGCAGUGGCACGGAAGAAGAGUUUGAAAGCAGCACGGGCGGCUGCUCUGCGGCUGGUAUUGAAGGUAGAGCUUGGCAAGAGAGAAUGGGAGAGCUCUACUGCCUCGAGCAUCGCAUCCAGCCCCAAUGGCAUCAUGCCCACUUGCCCGGCAAUUUCUCCACCUUUGCCAUGGGAUGGGAACCAAGCUUACACAAUAGAGGCUAUUGAGUUGUAUUGUCAGAAUCCAUGUCUGAGACGGACAGGUCCUACCCGCGCUGUUGUUGUUGUGGAUCCUGUGUACUUUGAGGUUAACUUGCGAGUAAAGGGCAAAACUGAAUCUGGGGAUAGAGAUUUGAGCUAUCUGGCUGUUUAUUAUCGUGAUUCUGGCUCUAGCGAAUCGUACGCGUUUAAAAAUGUCAGCACUAGCAAGCUUAGCACAGUGGCAUUGAUGUUGGGUGAUAUUGUUCAUUCAGUGGAGGCCACCAUCAGUGUGAGAGUGGUUCGUGGGGAAUGGUCGGAAGGUUGUAGAGGUCUAAUUUUUGCCAAUACCGCCAGUAUCGACGCCCAAAAAAUUGAGUUGCUUGCGUUCGGAGAUGAUAAGUUGCCUGUUGUAGCUAAUGGCACGAUAAAGCUUUCACGGUGUGUUGUAUCUGUUGAAGCUGAUGGAGAGUUGAGAGUCUGUGUCAUGGCAAGUAGCCUGGAGGAUCAAACUGUUGAGAGAGAUUCAGAAGCAUUCAAAGCCAAGAAAGCCUCCAGGAGCAGGCACCUUGUCUUCUGGCUGUCCCAAGCGCGGCACUGCUGCAUGGUUGGGGCAGGUGGAGCUGUGGUUCGGAAGGGCGUCGUUGGGUGUUCCUGUAUCGGGAGCACAACGAAGAGCUCCAAGGCAUUUGGCUUUGCUUUGUUGGCGUCAAAAUAUUCAUCCCUCGGCCUCUGUUUCCUUGCCUCCUGCUGGGUGGGAGCGGCUGAUGUGAAUGAGGCUGCGCAAAAUGAAGGAGGGGACGACGAAGGCGGCGGAGGAGGCGGAGAGGAGGAAGACAGCCCACGCCCCCAAAAACAAAAAGAAGAGCGCGCGGAAGGCGGCGGCUCUGGAGUGGGCGAGGAAGAGCUUGGAGGCGGAGAGGGCCAAGGACAGGAGCGUCUUCAAGCCCAAGACGAUGACCGAGGAGGACGUCGCGGCGGCGGCCGGAGGAACCAGGACCGGAAGGGGGAGCUGGACGCCGUCAUCAAGUGGAUCGCCACGGGAGACCCCGAGGAAAUCAGGAUCUCGAACCAGUGGGUCGAGGAAAACAUGGAGGCCAUGAAGCUGCAGGCGCUCGACCCCACUGACUACUGGGAGGCCGUCGAUGCCAGGAGGCACCGGGAAUCCGGCGAAUCUCUGCGGGUCGACUCCUUCGGUCCCUCACCCACCCAGCCCAUGUGUUACACGGACGACAAGCCUCCGCGUGGACGCGGUACAGCCUACCCUGUGCGUACUCUGCAGGUCUUUUCGGUCAGGGUUGGAGCCAUCACAGGUGGAUUGGACUGGCCUCUCGAUGUGUAUGGUAUCAUUGCCGCACGCGACUCAUUUGAUCAGAAUCGCAACAUCAUCUUCAACCGCUCCAGGGAUAACUGCCAAACCAUUGACACGAAGAAUCCAUGUCUGAGACUGACAGGUCCUACCCGCGCUGUUGUUGUUGUGGAUCCUGCGUCCUUUGAGGUUAACUUGCGAGUUAAGGGCAGAACUGAAUCAGAGGACAGAGAAUUGAGUAAUCUAGUUUUUUAUUAUCAUGAUUCUGGUUCUAGUGAAUCAUACGUGAUUAAACGUGUCAGCACCAGCAAGCUUAGCACAGUGGCAUUGAUGCUGGGUGAUAUUGUUAAUUCAGUGGAGGCCACCAUCAGUGUGAGAGUUGUUGGUGGGGAAUGGCCAGGAGCUAAUGGAGAGUUGAUAGUCUCCGUCAUGGCAAGUAGCUUGGAGGAUCAAACUGUUGAGAGAGAUUCAGAAGCAUUCAGAGCCAAGAAAGCCUCCAGGAGCAUGCGUAUGCUUGAAGUUCACCGUUGUAAGUUUGAAGUCACCGUCGCAUGGUCUCUUGUCCAGAACCUACCUUAUUUCCACAAACUUACAAAUGAUGUCUCCGUCAUGGCAAGUAGCUUGGAGGAUCAAACUGUUGAGAGAGAUUCAGAAGCAUUCAGAGCCAAGAAAGCCUCCAGGAGCAUGCGUAUGCUUGAAGUUCACCGUUGUAAGUUUGAAGUCACCGUCGCAUGGUCUCUUGUCCAGAACCUACCUUAUUUCCACAAACUUACAAAUGAUGUCUGA
rnacentral:rRNA from 1 species